rnacentral:rRNA from 1 species
GACGAACGCUGGCGGCGUGCUUAACACAUGCAAGUCGAACGGUGAAGCCGGAGCUUGCUCUGGUGAAUUAGUGGCGAACGGGUGAGUAACACGUGAGUAACCUGCCCUUGACUCUGGGAUAACUGCGGGAAACUGUAGCUAAUACCGGAUACGACCCUCGGAGGCAUCUCCUGGGGGUGGAAAGAAUUUCGGUCAAGGAUGGACUCGCGGCCUAUCAGCUAGUUGGUGAGGUAACGGCUCACCAAGGCGACGACGGGUAGCCGGCCUGAGAGGGUGACCGGCCACACUGGGACUGAGACACUGCCCAGACUCCUACGGGAGGCAGCAGUGGGGAAUAUUGCACAAUGGGCGCAAGCCUGAUGCAGCAACGCCGCGUGAGGGAUGACGGCCUUCGGGUUGUAAACCUCUUUUAGCAGGGAAGAAGCGAAAGUGACGGUACCUGCAGAAAAAGCACCGGCUAACUACGUGCCAGCCGCCGCUGUAA